AAGCAGAAGCUUUCUUUCUGGUCACAGCUGGCUGGAAUGUUUUAGAAAGUCUGAACAAAGAGGGCAGAAAGACAAGGUAGAACCUUUAAUACAAGCACAAGGCUCCCUGUCAUUAGUGAUGCUGAGGUGUCCAGUGCGGAUCGAUCCCUCAGGCCGCUCACGCUCUGUGAUCAUGUGGUGGAACUUCAAAGCUAUGAGGUGCUUGACCAAAAAGAGAUCAAAGCUGAAGCUGUGGCCUGGGGGACGAACCGAUGACACCCGCUUUGUGAUCUUCGGCUGGCGUCGUCUAUCGGGAAACCUGACAAAUUCAAGAAAAUUAAUGGGAUUGUCCUGUAGGUCCAGAGGCUACUCACGGUGGUCAGAUGAAACCGUAUAAUAGCAACUUUAGUCCUGUGAGUGCGGGUUAGAAAUUAACCUUCACUAGUCAUGUUGUUUACAUUCUGGACAAAAUGGUGUUUAUAGUGCUGUGACUUUUUACAGUCUUCAGUGCAACAUGUACUGUAUGUAAUAAAAAAGUUCAAAAUGGCCUGAAGGUCAAACAAUUCCCAACUUUCUAGCUGAUCCGUAGCUGGUUAAUGAAAGUAACAUCAUUUGCUUCAUGCAGCAUGGUCACAUAUUUGUUCCUGUACAUUACUGAAGUCGUGGAACAAGACACGAAGUUUAAAGCAGGUUUAGGGGCAAGAAUCAGCAUAUUUUAACUUUUCUUUGUUCAGAAUUCAUAUGACUAAUGUUUGCUCAAGUUUUACUGACUUCUCAGAUCUUCUCAAGAUCAGGUUGGUUUUCACUGAAGACUGGGUAUGAACUGUUGUGAGACUUGCUUGCUUCAGUGUGAUGCCUUGUGAUCAUCUGAGCACCUGUACAGCUAGCCUACCAUGACACAGCAGGAAAUAAACCUGUGUAGAAAAGAGGGAGUGUGGCUGGCUCAGUGCCUGCUGAUUAAUAAUGGAUCAAUAUUGGCUUUUAUUAUAAAUAAUGGCACUAACUGGUACCAGCGUCAGGGAGUGUCAGCAAAUAUUGGCCUUUUACCCACUGCGCAAUACUGCUUUACCAUUCCUGAACCAUGAAUAAGCUAAUUAUAGCCCUUAACUCAGGUUUUCCUUCUUAAAUGUAUUGGAUCGUCCAUUUUCCAACAGAUUUUAGUCUGAAUUUCCACCCAGUUCAUUGCAAAGGUGCACUGGAUAGUGUAAAUUGUUAUUAUUAAUCUACUGGCUAUAAUAACUUGCUUGAUAGCAUUAAAAUGAUAGAAAUGGAAAUUUCCCUGCCUUAAUGACUAGUUUUUAUAAUGGGGAUCCCAAGCUACGAUACGGUCAGGGUCGUGAAUAGAACAUGCAAUCGUCAGUUUUUACAAACGAAUAUUAAGAGAAGGCUUGAUCUCUGGCAGUGGAAAUGAUCUUUUUUUUUCACCUAAGCAACAAAACUCUGUCAGGAUUGCGCAACAAAGCAGAAGCAUUUCCCAAAAGGAAAUUUACCCUGAUUGACAAACCAAUUUUGUGAGCGUGAGCCUCUAAAGUUAACAGGUUUCUCCAGCAGGUUUUUUUCCUGUUUCGACUCUUCUAUAGAGAUGUUUUCUGACACUCCUGCAGUGCCAUUGUUGUUCAGUUACCGGUAAGUUUCCUGACACCAAAUGAUAGUAAUAUGAUCAAAAAGGAAGCAGUGAGUCCAUGUAAAAUUGAGGAUAAUAGCAAAAAUGUAGCGGUGUAGCGGUUCACCAUCAUUUAUCCGGUCAGCUUCCUGUGUGUGGAAACAGGAAGCUCAGUUGACCCCGAAUAUUGCUGGACACACCUUCAGGGCCUACACACCUCUUAUCUGUUUCAACAAGUAUUCAUUAGUCACUCAGUUUUAUUUGGCUCAUUUGAACUUUUACAGAAUGCCAGCGAUUCAAUAUAAAAGGUUUGCAUUGUAGUGAGAGCGAGCAGGCGGGCGUGUUGAUCAAAAGCUGCAGUUUUAGAGAAAUUGUUUGGUUUGCUGUACAGGUUUAAAGGCGUGCUUAUCAUUAAAAUAUUGGGCCUAUGAGUAUAGGUGUGAACUGAACUUGAGUAAACGUCAAACAGUGAGAUUAAGUAGAAGCAAGCAGCGGUGAUAAGAUUGAAGAUCAGCGUGACGUGAACACCUUUGCUAUUUUACGCUGCUCAGGGUACGUUAUAGACCUGCCGUUUAUUAAUUAACAUUAAUGCCCCUUGAAUGCCAGGAGCACCUCUGGAUAAGAGUUAUGAUUAGGAUUUCAACAAUGAAACAUGCAACAGUCUGAAUCUCUUGAAAAAAAUGUAAAAAAAAAAGUCUCCCUGUGACACUCAGAAUCUCUCCAGAUGACUGCAGAGCACUUCCAUGCUGCCACAGUUUUACACGCUAUACCCUUCCCUUAUAAAUAAGACUCUUUUUUUAAGUGAGCAGACCCCAGGAUGGAGGUGCCUGAUUAUAAAUAGCCUUUUUUGUGGUAUCUAUUUAAAGAGAUCCUCCUGAUGUGGCUUGCUAUUUUCCUAUUUUCUCUUCACCCUUGAAUUUUUCCUGACCAGAGAAAUAUCUGUUACCCCUCGACGCUCCUCGACCGACCUCUCAAACGUAAUUACCCCCGUUCCGUGCAAAUCAUCUAUAGAUUACUAGUUUCUUUGUGUGCUAUCAUAACAGCACCGAAUGAAUGAGAGAAGGAGGGGUGUCAUGAGCAAUGCCCCUACUCUUGCCAAAACCCCAUCAAAUGAGAGGCCUGUGGCUGCUGGGGAUAUUUUUUGCCGGGCUUCGGGGGCUUGUGGCACACAAGCGGCACAUGGCUGUGAUGGAGAGUGGUCGCUAGUGAAACGCAGAGCUCCAAUUAUGGCAGUAGUACACAUGUCGCUCAGGCGGUUAUAACUCUGCUGUCUUGUGGUGGAGGAAUUCAUGGGGAGGGUUUAUAAAGGAAAUAGAUGGAGCGAGGGGUUGAAGUGAGACAGACAACCCAAGAGACAUCAGUGAGAGGGAAUACGUUAGUUAUAGGUUGUAUUUUUAUAGGACGUGGUCUGUUUGUUUUACAGCCUUUAACCAGCAGUCAAGCGUCACAUAUACAAUCACACAAAAAACGAUGGUCAGACGCAACAUCUUUAAGCCAGAACAAGGUCUAAUCUAGUCGCCGUUAAGAGCCCACAAUGUCUCCGGUGUCAUGGUAUGCAGUCAUGAAUGUCAUGCAAAAACAAUGCUGAGUGGAAAACACCUUCAAAGCUCCUUUCACACCAAAAUGGGCCUUUUAUUCGUUUAACAGUUUAACAUGGUGUGUUAUGAUCUGACCUAAUAUUUACACCAAAGACAGGUGUACACUUGCUUUAACAGUAGAAUGUCAAAGACAAAUCGGACAAAUCGCUAUCACAUGACCAGUGUUGUAAUGUAACGGAGUAUAAAUACUUCGUUACUGUACUUAAGUAGAAAUGUCACGUAUCUGUACUUUACUUCGCUAUUUAAAUUUACGUCAACUUUCACUUUUACUCCACUACAUUUCCUAGAUAAAAUGUAUACUUUUACUCCGCUAUAUUUCCACUAAGCAUCUUCGUUACUCGUUAUUACAAAAUAAAAUCAGAAGAAAUGUGUGCGACUGCAAUAAGGGAGGUUUAGUGAAUCACUGCUCCUAGAUUGUAUUACGCGCUCUAUGG